AUUUAAGUAGUUUAAUAUAAAAUAUUGAUUUGUGAUGUCAAAGAUGUAUGAGUAAUACUUUAAAUA
rnacentral:tRNA from 1 species